rnacentral:rRNA from 1 species
GACGAACGCUGGCGGCUUGCUUAACACAUGCAAGUCGAACGGAAUGGCCCUUCUUUUGUGGGGUGCUCGAGUGUCGAACGGGUGGUUAACACGUGAGUAACCUUCCCUUGACUUUUGGAUAACUUCAGGAAACUGUGGCUUAUACCGGAUAGGAGCUCCUGCUGCAUUGUGUGGGUUGGAAAGUUUCGGCGGUUGGGGAUGGACUCGCGGCUUAUCAGCUUGUUGGUGGGUUAGUGGCUUACCAAGGCUUUGACGGGUAGCCGGCCUGAGAGGGUGACCGGCCACAUUGGGACUGAGAUACGGCCCAGAAUCCUACGGGAGGCAGCAGUGGGGAAUAUUGCACAAUGGGCGGAAGCCUGAUGCAGCAACGCCGCGUGCGGGAUGACGGCCUUCGGGGUGUAAACCGCUUUCGCCUGUGACGAAGCGUGAGUGACGGUAAUGGGUAAAGAAGCACCGGCUAACUACGUG